AGUUCGGUCUCUAUCCGUCGUGGGCGUUGGAAAUUUGAAAGGAACUGUCCCUAGUAUGAGAAGACCGGGAUGGAUAUACCGCUGGUGUUUCAGUUGGUUCGCCAGAGCCACAGCUGAGUAGCUAUGUAUAGAAGGGAUAAACACUGAAAGCAUCUAAGUGUGAAGCCCCCCUUAAGAUGAGAUUUCCCUAUGAGGUCCCUGAAAGACUAUCAGGUUGAUAGGCUAGAGGUGUAAGAAGAGUGAUCUUUUCAGCUGACUAGUACUAAUAGACCCAUUGACUUUGAUUUUUUAAAUACCAACGUU
rnacentral:rRNA from 1 species